rnacentral:sRNA from 1 species
AUAGUGAGGACUCUGACUCCAUUUCUUCACACACUGAACUCUCAGUUCCCGCCUACCGUCCCGGUUCACAGCUAGCAUUCGGCACAGGUGGCGAAGCAGUGUGGGCCCAGAGCAGAGACCUCGAGGAAGGCUUCUGACCCUGGACACGGAGGAGUAGCCAGCCUCGGAAGUUAGAAAGAACUACACGCAGUACAUCCCUCUGUCCAUAUAUGACCUGCAGACGUGGAUGGGCAGCCCGUCGAUCUUCGUCUACGACUGCUCCAAUGCUGGCUUGAUCGUCAAGUCCUUCAAGCAGUUCGCACUACAGCGGGAGCAGGAGCUGGAGGUAGCUGCAAUCAACCCAAAUCACCCUCUUGCUCAGAUGCCUUUGCCUCCAUCGAUGAAAAACUGCAUCCAGCUGGCAGCCUGCGAGGCCACCGA